CUUGAGUGCAGAAGAGGACAGUGGAACUCCAUGUGUAGCGGUGAAAUGCGUAGAUAUAUGGAAGAACACCAGUGGCGAAGGCGGCUGUCUGGUCUGUAACUGACGCUGAGGCUCGAAAGUAUGGGUAGCAAACAGGAUUAGAUACCCUGGUAGUCCAUACCGUAAACGAUGAAUGCUAAGUGUUGGAGGGUUUCCGCCCUUCAGUGCUGCAGCUAACGCAUUAAGCAUUCCGCCUGGGGAGUACGGCCGCAAGGCUGAAACUCAAAGGAAUUGACGGGGGCCCGCACAAGCGGUGGAGCAUGUGGUUUAAUUCGAAGCUACGCGAAGAACCUUACCAGGUCUUGACAUACUAUGCAAAUCUAAGAGAUUAGACGUUCCCUUCGGGGACAUGGAUACAGGUGGUGCAUGGUUGUCGUCAGCUCGUGUCGUGAGAUGUUGGGUUAAGUCCCGCAACAAGCGCAACCCUUAUUAUCAGUUGCCAGCAUUAAGUUGGGCACUCUGGUGAGACUGCCGGUGACAAACCGGAGGAAGGUGGGGAUGACGUCAAAUCAUCAUGCCCCUUAUGACCUGGGCUACACACGUGCUACAAUGGAUGGUACAACGAGUUGCGAACUCGCGAGAGUAAGCUAAUCUCUUAAAGUCAUUCUCAGUUCGGAUUGUAGGCUGCAACUCGCCUACAUGAAGUCGGAAUCGCUAGUAAUCGCGGAUCAGCAUGCCGCGGUGAAUACGUUCCCGGGCCUUGUACACACCGCCCGUCACACCAUGAGAGUUUGUAACACCCAAAGUCGGUGGGGUAACCUUUUAGGAACCAGCCGCCUAAGGUGGGACAGAUGAUUAGGGUGAAGUCGUAACAAGGUAACC
rnacentral:rRNA from 1 species